rnacentral:misc_RNA from 1 species
GAAAUGCGAUACGUAAUGCGAAUUGCAGAAUUCAGUGAAUCAUCAAAUCUUUGAACGCAAAUGGCGCUCUUGGGUAGCCCUAGGAGCACGCCUCUCUCAGUAUCGGUUCAAUCUAAACUCAGCAGCGUGCGUAAUAAUUUUUAAUUAUUGCGUUCCGUGUUGGCUGGAGAAUGAGUGUCUGUAUGUUUCACCAUACAGUCGCUUGAAAGACAUGGAGUGAGAGCCUCAUUCGUAAUGCCGUUCGUUUUCUUUCGUAAAAUUUAUUUUUUAUGAUAGAGAGCGAUGAGCCCUGCUUAGGGACGGCUCAAUUCGAGUGACGUGAAGAAUAGGCCUAUUUAGGUCUUCUUUUUACGUCUUAUCUUG